rnacentral:lncRNA from 1 species
AUACCAGCCCUGAUACCCGCCCUGAUACCAGCCCUGAUACCAGCCCUGAUACCAGCCCUGAUACCUGCCCUGAUACCAGCCCUGAUACCAGCCCUGAUACCUGCCCCUGAUACCCGCCCUGAUACCAGCCCUGAUACCUGCCCCUGAUACCUGCCCCUGAUACCUGCCCCUGAUACCUGCCCCUGAUACCAGCCCUGAUACCAGCCCUGAUACCUGCCCUGAUACCAGCCCUGAUACCAGCCCUGAUACCUGCCCUGAUACCAGCCCCUGAUACCAGCCCUGAUACCCGCCCUGAUACCAGCCCUGAUACCAGCCCUGAUACCUGCCCCUGAUACCCGCCCUGAUACCAGCCCUGAUACCUGCCCCUGAUACCUGCCCCUGAUACCUGCCCUGAUACCUGCCCUGAUACCAGCCCUGAUACCCGCCCUGAUACCAGCCCUGAUACCAGCCCUGAUACCAGCCCUGAUACCUGCCCUGAUACCAGCCCUGAUACCAGCCCUGAUACCUGCCCUGAUACCAGCCCUGAUACCAGCCCCUGAUACCCGCCCUGAUACCAGCCCUGAUACCAGCCCUGAUGCCAGCCCUGGUACCUGCCCUGAUACCCGCCCUGAUACCUGCCCUGAUACCCGCCCUGAUACCUGCCCCAGAUACCAGCCCUGGUGCCAGCCCUGAUACCCGCCCUGAUACCCGCCCUGAUACCAGCCCUGAUACCAGCCCUGAUACCUGCCCCAGAUACCAGCCCUGAUACCUGCCCUGAUACCUGCCCUGAUACCAGCCCUGAUACCUGCCCUGAUACCCGCCCUGAUACCUGCCCUGAUACCAGGCACAGCCAACCACCGCACGGACAGGCUCCACUACACAGCCAACCACCCCACAGACAGGCUCCACUACACAGCCAACCACCCCACAGACAGGCUCCACUACACAGCCAACCACCCCACAGACAGGCUCCACUACACAGCCAACCACCCCACAGACAGGCUCCACUACACAGCCAGACACCCCACAGACAGGCUCCACUACACAGCCAGACACCCCACAGACAGGCUCCACUACACAGCCAACCACCCCACGGACAGGCUCCACUACACAGCCAACCACCCCACAGACAGGCUCCACUACACAGCCAACCACCCCACAGACAGGCUCCACUACACAGCCAACCACCCCACGGACAGGCUCCACUACACAGCCAACCACCCCACGGACAGGCUCCACUACACAGCCAACCACCCCACAGACAGGCUCCACUACACAGCCAACCACCGCACGGACAGGCUCCACUACACAGCCAACCACCCCACAGACAGGCUCCACUACACAGCCAACCACCGCACAGACAGGCUCCACUACACAGCCAACCACCCCACAGACAGGCUCCACUACACAGCCAACCACCCCACAGACAGGCUCCACUACACAGCCAACCACCCCACAGACAGGCUCCACUACACAGCCAACCACCCCACAGACAGGCUCCACUACACAGCCAGACACCUUGCUACUCAACCCAACAAAACGGACACGCUGUGAUUGCCUCCUGGGAUGACCUGUUUUGAAGAAUGUCCCGACCACCUGUUGCUCCUGAGACAAGAUGGCUCCCAGAAUCAGUUCCUUUUCCUUUUCUCCCGUGACAUAAUCCAGUUUGUUUUGCUACAUUACUGACUGACAUGUUGUUGCAGUGUCAUGUACACAUUUAAAGUGGCGGUUAAAUAAAAAAACAACAACAUUGACAACUUUCAUAACAGUUAC